CCUUCGAUAGCUCAGUUGGUAGAGCGGUGGACUGUAGAGGUUUAGAAGCUCCCUUCGGAAGAAAUCCAUAGGUCGCUGGUUCAAAUCCGGCUCGAAGGA
rnacentral:tRNA from 1 species